rnacentral:rRNA from 1 species
UACGUAGGGUGCAGGCGUUAAUCGGAAUUACUGGGCGUAAAGCGUGCGUAGGUGGUUCGUUAAGUCCGUUGUGAAAGCCCCGAGCUCAACUUGGGAAUUGCAGUGGAUACUGGCGAGCUGGAGUGCGGUAGAGGAAGGUGGAAUUCCCGGUGUAGCGGUGAAAUGCGUAGAGAUCGGGAGGAACACCAGUGGCGAAGGCGGCCUUCUGGACCAGCACUGACACUCAAGCACGAAAGCGUGGGGAGCAAACAGG